AUUGAACGCUGGCGGCAUGCCUUACACAUGCAAGUCGAACGGCAGCACGGGUGCUUGCACCUGGUGGCGAGUGGCGAACGGGUGAGUAAUACAUCGGAACAUGUCCUGUAGUCGGGGAUAGCCCGGCGAAAGCCGGAUUAAUACCGCAUACGAUCUACGGAUGAAAGCGGGGGACCUUCGGGCCUCGCGCUAUAGGGUUGGCCGAUGGCUGAUUAGCUAGUUGGUGGGGUAAAGGCCUACCAAGGCGACGAUCAGUAGCUGGUCUGAGAGGACGACCAGCCACACUGGGACUGAGACACGGCCCAGACUCCUACGGGAGGCAGCAGUGGGGAAUUUUGGACAAUGGGCGAAAGCCUGAUCCAGCAAUGCCGCGUGUGUGAAGAAGGCCUUCGGGUUGUAAAGCACUUUUGUCCGGAAAGAAAUCCUUGGCCCUAAUACGGUCGGGGGAUGACGGUACCGGAAGAAUAAGCACCGGCUAACUACGUG
rnacentral:rRNA from 1 species